CCCCAUGAGCUCACCUACACGUCAAGAAGAAUCUGAAAUAGCCUCUCAACGCUACCAGCGAAGACUCUAAUCAAAACGUAAUCUUUAUAUAUUAUCAAUUUCACUGAUUUCUAUAUUUUCCGAUUCCGAUAAUAAACCAUAUUCCAUCACACGUAAAGUUUGCAUUAAAUAUAAUCUAUACCGUUUGAAACAACAUGAUGCAUAGUGCCUCGUACCAAAACAAGAAUGUCACUGACCUUGCACAGUUUACGUCAUUGAGCUCUUAGUCCAAUGAUAACUAGAAUACCUGGUGUUUCAGACAUCAUAUAAUAAUGUAAGUGUUUCCGGCGUGCGCGCAUUAUAAAAUAUAAAUAAUUAAGAAUACGAAAGUACUUAUCAGUUUAUCCUCUUUCACCUUCUAACGGAUUGAAGCGGUAGAUAAGUCAGAGAUGCUGUGAAUAUUUUGGAGACUGAAGUGGACAAAUUUUUUUUGGAUCCAAUUUGGCGACCGCAGUAAGAUGAUGAUCAGGGAACACCGCUGCCCAUUCUCAGGUCGCAUACCUUUUACGACACCCAUAGUAAGAGAUGGAGAACUAUGAGGCAUCGUGACACGAUACCCCACCGGAUACUCGACAGUCAGCAAUGGUACCAUCAUGAGCAUUUAAAAAUGCCUGUGAUAUUCUACUUGUAUAAUUAAUAUAAGAACCCUUUAGAUAUUAAAACUUUGAUAAUUAAUACAGACGAUUAAAAUUAAA